rnacentral:rRNA from 1 species
UACGUAGGGUGCAAGCGUUGUCCGGAAUUAUUGGGCGUAAAGAGCUCGUAGGCGGUUUGUCGCGUCUGCUGUGAAAACUCAGGGCUUAACUCUGAGCUUGCAGUGGGUACGGGCAGACUAGAGUGCGGUAGGGGAGACUGGAAUUCCUGGUGUAGCGGUGAAAUGCGCAGAUAUCAGGAGGAACACCGGUGGCGAAGGCGGGUCUCUGGGCCGUAACUGACGCUGAGACGCGAAAGCGUGGGGAGCGAACAGG